rnacentral:rRNA from 1 species
GACGAACGCUGGCGGCGUGCCUAAUACAUGCAAGUAGAACGCUGAAGAGAGGAGCUUACUCUUCUUGGAUGAGUUGCGAACGGGUGAGUAACGCGUAGGUAACCUGCCUUGUAGCGGGGGAUAACUAUUGGAAACGAUAGCUAAUACCGCAUAACAAUGGCUGACACAUGUCAUUUAUUUGAAAGGGGCAGUUGCUCCACUACAAGAUGGACCUGCGUUGUAUUAGCUAGUAGGUGAGGUAAUGGCUCACCUAGGCGACGAUACAUAGCCGACCUGAGAGGGGGAUCCGCCACACUGGGACUGAGACACGGCCCAGACGCCUACGGGAGGCAGCAGGAGGGAAUCUUCGGCAAUGGGGGCAACCCUGACCGAGCAACGCCGCGUGAGUGAAGAAGGGUUUCGGAUCGUAAAGCUCUGUUGUAAGUCAAGAACGGGUGUGAGAGUGGAAAGUUCACACUGUGACGGUAGCUUACCAGAAAGGGACGGCUAACUACGUG